UACGCAGGGGGCUAGCGUUGCUCGGAAUGACUGGGCGUAAAGGGCGCGUAGGCGGCUUGCACCGUCAGAUGUGAAAUUCCUGGGCUUAACCUGGGGGCUGCAUUUGAUACGUGUGGGCUUGAGUGCGGAAGAGGGUCGUGGAAUUCCCAGUGUAGAGGUGAAAUUCGUAGAUAUUGGGAAGAACACCGGUGGCGACGGCGGCGACCUGGUCCGUGACUGACGCUGAGGCGCGAAAGCGUGGGGAGCAAACAGG
rnacentral:rRNA from 1 species